CCUCCCCGCCCGGCCGCGCGCACGCGCCCCCGCUGCCCUUGCGCCGCGUCACCUCACCCGUGAGGCGUCGGACGGCCAGGCAGGCGUGAGGGACACGGGACGCCGCACACGGCGGGCGCUCUCCUCAGGGCCUCAGGCCGAGCCCGAGUUGUCACUACGGAGUCUGCCCGGGGAGGCGAGGGCGAGCAGAUAUAUCAGAGAAAGACCGAUGUGACAGACAUUUAACAAAGAUGAACAUGAGAACAGAUCCAGCUCUCUGCUAAUUGCCUGGGAAGAAUGACAUGAGUGGGCCCGUGUGCUUGAGCUGUUGCCAUGUGGAUGACCAGAGGCUCUUGGUAUCUGACUUCAGUCUGACCCAACUCUAGCCAUUGCAGCCAUCUGAGCCCUUCAGAAACUGGCUUUAAACUGCCUUUUUAAUCUUUAUUGGCCAUUCCACCUUGGGCAAAGAUACCAGCAAUGCAAAUGCUAUUUCUCAAACACAUCUUGACAUUGAUUAAUUCAUUCAAUCGUCCAUCUAUCCAUUAAUUCAGAAACUAUUUAUUGAGUACGGUGUAAGUA